ensembl:lncRNA
CUCCUCCCCCUCCCCAACCCCUACCUCAUUUCCAGCUGGGCGGUGUCUCCAUUGAAACACAUGUCAUAUGGAGAGUGUGAAACAGGAACCCAAGGACUGGCUUGGGAAGCUGGUGGUCACUGAGCAAGCCCUGGCCACCCUGGGCUGGUGGCACAAAGAUGCAGGACUAGACAUAUGGGGCUCACUGACACCUGCUGAAUGGGUGAACCAAAGACGACGUGCAGCUGCCGAAUUCUGGAGCCGCAGCAAGCUGGAAGGAGCUCAGCCGUUCAGACUUACAGGUGUGGGUUCAACCACCUUCUCUUGAUUCAAGUCAACAGAUAUUAGUGAUCAUGAACCUUGUGAAGGGCCCAAAUCUGAGGCCUGGGGCGGGGAGGUGGGGGCAGUGAAACCCAAUAACUAUAAUUUAACUUCUCUGUGAGCUGUCCCACUCCUACUUUAUAUUCAAGGAGCAGUUAUACUAGAGCGCAACCAGCUGUUCAAUCAGUCCUUGUGAAAUGAAGUUGGGUCUAUGUAUGGUAGUUUAUAAAAUUAUGUUAGCCAACUGAUCUCAUUUAAGUUUCAUAACAACACUGGGAGAAAGGUAUUACUAUGGCCCCGUUUUAGUGAUGAGCAAACUGAGGCUCUGGGAAGCUAAAUAACUUGCCUGGCACCUGAUGGAGAGGCAGAGGCACAUAGGUCAGAGCCCAGGCUGGAGGAAGGCUCAGGAAAGGGCAGGAAAGGAUCUGGGCUAGAGGGCCGGGUGCCAUCUAGUGUGAAGGAGGCGGGAUGCUGAGGGACAUUGAGCAGGUGGAAACAGUGGGUGUCUCCACGCCUCUUGCCCCUCGUGGGGCACUCACAGCAGCAUCGGUUUGUCACACCUGCAGCUGAGCACUUGAAUGAGAAGAAUUUCCUGAAUUUAUAAAAUGGCAAGAGAUUAAGCCCCGUGAGUGAAUUGAUAUGUUAGCCCCUCAGUUGUGUCCAGCUCUUUGCAACCCCUUGGGCUGCAGCUCCUCUGCACCGCCAGGCUCCUCUGUCCAUGGGAUUCUCCAGGCAAGAACACUGGAGUGGGUAGCCACGCCCUCCUCCAGGGGAUCUUUCUGACCCAGGGAACGAUCCCAGGUCUCCUGCAUUGCAGGUGGAUUCUUCACCGUCUGGGCCACCAGGGUUGAUAGCUAAGGUGAGUCUCAUCUAACGCCUGGGUUUGAAGUAGCCAGCAGGAAGGGGAUCGAAGGCCUAUGUGGUUUGUAGGCAGGCAGCACCUGCCCUCCCCCACCCCUCAGGCCCCGGGUGAAGUUGGCACCAGGCAGCCUCCAGCUGGGGGGUUUUCUGGCUGUUCUGGGCCAACAAAGGGAGGGAAGGCCUGAGGUGCCAGGCUCGUGGUUUAGCCCAGGCAGAGCUGACCGAAACCGGAGAGGUGUCCAAUCCCACCCUGGAGUGACUGGGUCACACGAGCUUUUGACCAGACAGUCUUGUUCCACCUCCGGAGCCUAGAAUCCUUGGAGGCCCUGGCAGCCAGGCAGCGCCCUCGUGGGACCAGUGAUCCUCUCAGGCAGAGAUGCCCUGGGCAGAUGCCUCCAAAACACGUGUGGUCAGAACCCCACCUUGG